UACGUAGGGUGCGAGCGUUGUCCGGAAUUAUUGGGCGUAAAGAGCUCGUAGGCGGUUUGUCGCGUCUGCUGUGAAAACCUAAGGCUCAACCUUGGCUUGCAGUGGGUACGGGCCAGACUAGAGUGCGGUAGGGGUGACUGGAAUUCCUGGUGUAGCGGUGGAAUGCGCAGAUAUCAGGAGGAACACCGAUGGCGAAGGCAGGUCACUGGGCCGCAACUGACGCUGAGGAGCGAAAGCAUGGGGAGCGAACAGGAUUAGG
rnacentral:rRNA from 1 species